rnacentral:rRNA from 1 species
AUUGAACGCUGGCGGCAUGCUUUACACAUGCAAGUCGAACGGUAACAGGCCGCAAGGUGCUGACGAGUGGCGAACGGGUGAGUAAUGCAUCGGAACGUGCCCAGUCGUGGGGGAUAACGCAGCGAAAGCUGCGCUAAUACCGCAUACGAUCUAUGGAUGAAAGCGGGGGACCGUAAGGCCUCGCGCGAUUGGAGCGGCCGAUGUCAGAUUAGGUAGUUGGUGGGGUAAAGGCUCACCAAGCCAACGAUCUGUAGCUGGUCUGGGAGGACGACCAGCCACACUGGGACUGAGACACGGCCCAGACUCCUACGGGAGGCAGCAGUGGGGAAUUUUGGACAAUGGGCGCAAGCCUGAUCCAGCAAUGCCGCGUGCAGGAAGAAGGCCUUCGGGUUGUAAACUGCUUUUGUACGGAACGAAACGGUCCUGGUUAAUACCUGGGGCUAAUGACGGUACCGUAAGAAUAAGCACCGGCUAACUACGUGCCAGCAGCCGCGGUAAAAC